CAUAAUCCUACAAAAUACUUAUCAGAAGUGACUAGAUUUGGUUACGCAUUACGAAAUCGUGUCCAUUGUAUGAAUGAAAUUACUCUUCCUUUUAAAAAACACUCAUUUAUUCAUAAAAGAAUCGGAUUUACCCACGAUGAAGUAAACACAGGAUGACAUUCAGGUGCAGUUUGUUUCCCGAGGUCCGUUCCUCAUAACUCAGCAGGAUGGUCGUGUGAGAGCCGGAUAUACUCCUCAGCGUUGAAAUGAGGGGUUCCAGCGACUGAAAUUAGAGUAGACGAUUACCAAAACUUAAAUAUUAUAAUGCAUGAUUAUAAUAAAUAUUUGUAAAGUCCAUCAAAGAAACCUUAACAAAAUGAUGAUGAUAUAAAUACAGGAUCCAUAACAUCUUCACUGCAACAUUUAUGCUUACUGUCACAUAGUUUUCCCAGCGUAAUAAGGAGACCGAAGUUUAGAAGUACAUGUGGAAAAUUUCUUGUUAUAUUACCAAUAAACAAGAUUGAGAAGGUUGCACAAAGAGAAUAGCAAGAAAAUUAGUUGCUAUAGCUUGGUAUAAAGUGGAGACUCAAAAUAUCGACAAAUAUGAAAAGCUCAUUAGUUCUCAUAAUCCCUACUUUAUUCUAGAGGGUACCAUCAACACGAUUAAUGUCUGGUUGAUCACUGGCAUAUGAAUCUUGAGGGUGGUUCCUAACAUGAUCAUAAUGGCUGCUUUAUUCUAAAGGGUAUCGUCAACACAGUUUCUGUCUGACUUGAUCACAGCCACUGGAAUCUUGAAACUGGUACCUAUCGCUGAAUACCCAAACACCUCCAGGUUUCUUGGCUGUCUUCAAAUGUCUGUCCUGGCUAGUAACACAAAAUAACGAUAACAUGUAAAAAAAAAAACUGCAGACUCCAAAGUGCAUCUAGUCACCAAUAAGUCAUACUACCUCUCCUGAUCUCCUGAGGUCUUCAUGACUCAUCCAAUGGAAAAGGGUAAUUUUAACUUGAAAAGUUCUGAGAGCUGAAACACAUAAACUUAUCUCUCUCAUCCCUUGCCACGCUCUGGUUUAGACAUAGUAACUGGUUGCUAAGUGAAGUAUAUGUUCAUUUGUAGCUUCAUCAGCUCAUGUUCACAUAUCAAGGAUUUUACUGGAACUCUGUGAUAUCUGAUAAUGGUGCAGUUCAUUUAUUCAGCGUCUCCUUAAAUGUAUCAGCAGCUAUACCAAACGUUCAAAUUUGGUGAAGUUCAACAUGCUGUAAAGCAAAUUGAGAAUGACCAUCUGGAACUACCCAACAACUGGAUUUCAUAGGAGAGUAACACCUACAGCGUACCUUAUGCAUUUUACUGCAGACAAUGCUUAGGUUCUUUUUAAUGUUUCUGUAGCUGUCAAAGCUUUCAGCUUGUCUUUCAUGUGGUAUUCAGUCUCAUUAUCUUCAUUAUAUCAAGGUGUCCUGCUACCAACCAUUCAUUUCUUGUGGUCUUUACAUCUUUGGAGCAUUGAAAUUACAUUAGCCCCACUAACCAAGUCCGCAUCCGCUGAUAACCAGGGACUGCCUGUGCUACUUGAUACACCAAGCAGUCCCACCCACUAUCUCUUCUCAGUCAGUCCUGUGUGUCUUUCAGGAUUCACAUCCGCAGUAAGUGACCCUUGUUACGCCGCCAUGACUGUUGUCCUCUUUAGCUACAACAAAAAAGGGAAGCCCUAGCUCCUUCAGAAACACAACCCAAAAGAAAACAGAACAUGAGUCUUAAAACAGUUACCUAACUCCUGGGAGACACAAGAACCAUAUGAUACAGAACAGAAGGCUCUGUCCAUGAUUCGUCUGACACGGGAUGAAAUCAAACAAACCCAUACACAAAAUUCUCUUUUACUCCUUCCCCAACCAACUGAGCCACGGAAGUGUGGGAAUGCUCAAGAAUAUGCCAUAUUCUUUCAUUGGUUACCCAGAAUAAAAACUAACCCGACUCAAAUAUUUUUACAUUAUAUAACAUGCUCCCUGAAUGGAGUAUGCAAUAACAUUCUGAAGAAGGCAGCACUCCUUCCAAAUAGUAUUUAAAACCGUACCUCUUUAUAUUUUACUGUCUUAUUUAGCAUAAAGGGCAAUGAGGAUUGGUAGCCAACACUUUAAGCAUAUAUACCACUGACUUUGCACAUUAACCACUAUAUAACUUUAUCAUGUGGAUAAACAUAAAAAAGAAAGGGUAAAAAAGAUCAGAUUUCAUGUCUUUUGCACAGCACACAUCAGCCAAACUAUGCUGAUGCUGUGUAUGUAAUUAUGAGUAAGAGGAUACUCUAUGUUGAGUAAUAAUCACCUAUCACUCAUGACUCCCUUUAGCUAACUCAACUUUUUUGUUGGAUACCACAGCACAAUGCUAGGGAAGUAUGCAAGUAAAAUAAGUCUGAACAUUGUACAGUAGUAUAGGUAAUUUCUUUUAAUCAACCCAGAAAACAAGAAAGUAAAAUAAGUUUGAACUUAUACAAUAAGUAUACAAUAAGUAAAAUAAGUUUAAACGAUGUACAGUAUUGGUAAUUUCUUUUAGUCAACCCAGACAACAAGAAAGUGCAAAGUUAUUGAUAUCCCAUAAAAAAAAAAAAACUUACAGUAUGAGGAGACAUGAAACAGACAAAGGAAAUGCAACAAGUAUAGUAAGAUGACUGGUGUAUCCAUCUUAAGAACCAAACAUGCCGAGAUUGGAAUCAGUUUGUGCUAAAGGAUAGGCAUUUUCAUUGUCGUGCUAAAUGAUGCCACUCCGCAAUAACCUCAAUCAAAAGCAGUUUUGGUCUGAAACCCACCACAAAUGGCAAUGAAGACUUCUGUUAAAUCAGAGGUUUGUAAAUACUUAAUAGACACAAUCAUUUCUGAUAAUUAUUCUUUAAAGUAAACCUGAAAAUUUCAUUAAUAAUGACACUAGUUACGAGUCAUACAAAAAUUCUACAAAAAUACAUCAAUGAAAACUUGGUGAGUGUUCUUACCUGUUCAUAGUAAAUACAAUCUGCAACGAGAAUGACUUUGGGUUUAUCGAUGGCAUCCAUGUGUUCUUUGUUGCCCCAUUCCAAAACCUUAGCUUUCACCUGGUCUUGUAUUAUGUGGCGAUUCUCCUUGAUAUUUUUCUCCAUCAAGUGGACAAAUUCUGGAAGAUCAGUAAUGGUUACCUGUGAAGCCCUAGAAAAAAAAAACAAUAAAAAUCAAUUCUACAUAAUAACUGUUCAAACAAUACUGUAUUCCCUAAAAUAUAUAUACAGCAAUCUUA